GAUGAACGCUGGCGGCGUGCCUAAUACAUGCAAGUCGAGCGAACGGACGAGAAGCUUGCUUCUCUGAUGUUAGCGGCGGACGGGUGAGUAACACGUGGAUAACCUACCUAUAAGACUGGGAUAACUUCGGGAAACCGUAGCUAAUACCGGAUAAUAUUUUGAACCGCAUGGUUCAAAAGUGAAAGACGGUCUUGCUGUCACUUAUAGAUGGAUCCGCGCUGCAUUAGCUAGUUGGUAAGGUAACGGCUUACCAAGGCAACGAUGCAUAGCCGACCUGAGAGGGUGAUCGGCCACACUGGAACUGAGACACGGUACAGACUACUACGGGAGGCAGCAGUAGGGAAUCUUCCGCAAUGGGCGAAAGCAUGACGGAGCAACGCCGCGUGAGUGAUGAAGGUCUUCGGAUCGUAAAACUCUGUUAUUAGGGAAGAACAUAUGUGUAAGUAACUGUGCACAUCUUGACGGUACCUAAUCAGAAAGCCACGGCUAACUACGUG
rnacentral:rRNA from 1 species